UACGUAGGGUCCGAGCGUUGUCCGGAAUUACUGGGCGUAAAGAGCUCGUAGGUGGUUUGUCGCGUUGUUCGUGAAAACUCACAGCUCAACUGUGGGCGUGCGGGCGAUACGGGCAGACUUGAGUACUGCAGGGGAGACUGGAAUUCCUGGUGUAGCGGUGGAAUGCGCAGAUAUCAGGAGGAACACCGGUGGCGAAGGCGGGUCUCUGGGCAGUAACUGACG
rnacentral:rRNA from 1 species